CCUACGGGAGGCAGCAGUGAGGAAUAUUGGUCAAUGGGCGGGAGCCUGAACCAGCCAAGCCGCGUGAGGGAAGAAGGUACAGCGUAUCGUAAACCUCUUUUGUCAGGGAACAAAGGCGGGGACUAGUCCCCGGAUGAGUGUACCUGAAGAAAAAGCAUCGGCUAACUCCGUGCCAGCAGCCGCGGUAAUACGGAGGAUGCGAGCGUUAUCCGGAUUUAUUGGGUUUAAAGGGUGCGCAGGCGGUCUGUUAAGUCAGCGGUCAAAGCCCGGGGCUCAACCCCGGCCCGCCGUUGAAACUGGCAGUCUCGAGUUGGAGAGAAGUAUGCGGAAUGCGCGGUGUAGCGGUGAAAUGCAUAGAUAUCGCGCAGAACUCCGAUUGCGAAGGCAGCAUGCCGGCUCCACACUGACGCUGAGGCACGAAAGCGUGGGUAUCGAACAGGAUUAGAUACCCCUGUAGUC
rnacentral:rRNA from 1 species